rnacentral:lncRNA from 1 species
CUGUUUUUUUUGUGCCUCUGGUAUGCAAUUAUGUGCUUUCUGUCGCCUCUUGGUAUAUAGCUAUUUGGGUGGUGUUUAUCUCUGCAUUGGAUAAUUUGUGACUACGGAAGGUUUGGUUUUUUAGUGUUUAUUUGCCGAGUUGUGGUAAUUAUUGGAAUUGUUAGGCAGUCAUAGUCAACACUGUGUUUCUUUUAGACAUAUAUAAUAGAAAUUCUUAUAGUAGUUAACUUAAUGUAAUUAUAUCGGCUGUUGUAAUAAUGUUAACUUAAUGGAAAAAAGAGGUUGACUCCUACUUUCUCACGUGAAUNNNNNNNNNNNNNNNNNNNNNNNNNNUGCAUCUAUUCAAGGUCUAAUUAGUUUUUAUUUUUGGCUAGCUAGUUAUCUUUCUAAUUAGAACAUCUUGAUGAUUUAGGUUUCUCCUCUUCCUUUUAAAGUCAUUGAGAAAGUGUUAAAGGAUAAUCUCAAACCCGAUUUCUCUAAGAUGUAAGUUGCACUCACUAACUGAAUUUUGAUUUUAUGAACCCUCAAUCUUUCAUUGUUAUCUUAUAUGAGCUUGUUUCUGUUAAUAUUUUGGUAUAUUUUCUAUUCAUAUAUAUGGUUCCUUACUUAAAAUAGAGUUUCCUUGAAUCAAGCUAAUAAUUUCAAUUAUGUUUUAGGUUGUUUCAAGUGAUUUUAAUUUACUUUAAGGAAUUAGUGUCCGUAGAUUCUCUCUAUCCAUUGUCAAUUAAUUGAUAUUAGAGCUUUUGGUUGAUAGUUACUUUAUGUUUUUCCCCUUUCCUUUUUAUUCUAUUAUGUUAAUUAUUUUUGUUUUUGAUUAG